rnacentral:lncRNA from 1 species
GUCGCUUCUCGCAGGCGGCGCGCUUGCUGGGUCACAGUGAGGCGGCUCCGCGCAGGCGCAGCCGGGCGGGCGAGGAGCGGGGAAGCUGACUCAGGGCUGCGGCCGGGGUCCUGCGGGGUAGGAGCGCGAGGCCGGCCUGAGGGAGGAGGCCUAGCGACCCAUCCGGCGCCUCCCGCCCCGGGCACCCGCCCGCGGCCGCGCAUCCUGCGGGCCCCAGGAGGCCUCCAUCUCAAAACAACGUGUUUUUAGAGAACUCAAGGGCUGUGAAAAGAGCAGGACCUCACCAGCUGCACGGCGGUGGUGACUGGCUCCAUCUUGCUGUCCCUCCCAAUCACACAACAUCUCCCCUUGAAGGCUCUGCCCAGGCCCGGACUCCCACCUUUCAAGAUGUCUGGAUCAGUGCAGGACCUCCUCCUUGGCCACAUCGCUCUCCUUGGACUGUGUUGACUCACCUGUGGAGUGGUCUGAGCCUGAAUGCCCGGGGCUGUGGCCACCGAGUGAACGGGCUGUGCUAAGGGGAAUUGCCACCUUGGGAAACCUGUGUAGUUGCGGCUUUUCUGAUUAAGUAUCAAUAAAAGUCUGACCUUGUGAAAAAAGCAAACGUGAGUGGCCCUGCUUAUGUUUCACCUUGCGUUGCUCAGUGAUAGUUCUGCAAAGUCGCAGGAAACCUGGAAUCAUCUAAUUAUCGUGAGUGUUGGCACAUGACAGCCUUCUUGCAAUCAAGAAACUACGUGUGGCCAGGAUCUCAUCCACUAUCACAGUUUCAGCUUUCCCCAAACUGGAAUGUGUCUUUGCAGACGCCCAUCCUUAUUAAAGGGCAAAGACUUCUCAUACACCUAGGAUGGAUCUUAUAUUCUUGGCGGGACUGCAGAGAAGGUGCCGUGUCCUGAGUCCUCAUGUCAGGGCACAGGCUUCCAGCCAGUUCUACCUGGGUUAUGUUUAUCUCAAUUCCCUGGUGGUAUUGGUGUCUGCUGGGUUUUGCCAGAAUGAAGACACCGUGUUUUCAUUUGUCAGUUGAUUCGUAUUUUCCAGGAAGACAUUCUGAGAUUACAGCAUUGUCUUAGUCAAGGUGCUGCAGAAGGACAGAACUAAUAGGAUAUAUGUACAUAUGAAAGAAAGUUUAUGAAGAACUGGCUCACACCAUCACAAGGCAAAGUCCCAUGACAGGCCAUCUGCAAGCUGAGGAGCGAGGAAGCCAGCAGUGGCUCAGCCGGAGUCCAACAGCCUCAAACGGAAUCCAACAGUUCAGGCUUCAGUCUGUGGCCAAAUGCCCAGAGACCCCGGAAAGCUACUGGUGUUAGUCCCAGAGCCGGAAGGCCAAAGAACCUGGAGUGUGAUGUCCAAGGGCAGGAGGAAUGGACAGAAGCAUCCAGCAUGGGGUAAAGACGAAAGCCAGAAGACUCAGCAAGCUAGCUUACCUACUUUCUUCUGCCUGCCUUGUUCUAGCCGCGCUGGCAGCCGGUUGGAGGGUGCCCACCCCCACUGAGGGUGGAUCUUCCUCUCCUAGUCCACUGACUCAAAUUUCAGUCUCUCUGGGAGCACCAUCACACCAGAAACAAUACCAGCCAUCUAGCCACCCUUCAGUUCACCAUCACAACCAUUGUCUUAUUCAUGAAACUUCUGCAGACCCACCUUAACCUCCAUCGGUGACUUCUACCUGAAGCCCUCUGAUUGUUGCCCAGUGGUGCUUUUUAAAAUAAUUUCCAUAGUUUCUUCUACACCUUUAGUUGGCAUUCUACUGUAAAGGAGAGAUUUUAUUUUCUUACUCAUUUAUUUGUUAGUUUAUAGUCACCACCAUAUGGAUGCAGAGUUCUGUCUCAUUCACUGGGAAGUAUUCUAUUGCAGUCAUGAUUUAUUUUGAUGUUCACAUCCCAGAGUUGGUGAGUGAGCGCCCCUUCACGCUGGCUCCCGAGUGCUGACGUGUCCCCGUCCUUCUCUGCACUUUUCCUUACCUCCUGGCCUCAGAUAUUCCAGGGUCAUUUGUUCUCUCCCUGCUCCAACCCUGCAGUCAGCCAUCUCCCUAGGGACGUUGGUUCCUUUAUGGAAGGUGGCAUUUAGAAGCCAGGAUUUGGGCUGAGCACUGUGGCUCAUGCUUGUAAUCCCAGCACUUGGGGAGGCCGAAGUGGGCGGAUCGCUGGAGGCCAAGAGUCUGAGACCAGCCUGGCUAACAUGGUGAAACCCUUCCCCGUCUCUACUACAAAUAAAAAAUUAGCUGGGUGUGUUGGCACGUGCCUGUAAUCCCAGUUACUCAGGAGGCUGAAGCACCAGAAUCUCUUGAACCCAGGAGGCCGAGGUUGCAGUGAGCCAAGAUUGCACCACUGCACUACAGCUUGGGUGACAGCGCGAGACACCGUCUCAAAAAGGAUAAUAAUUUAAAAAACAGCAGGAUUUGGGUGAGCAGUGCGCUCAUUGCUUCUGGGCUCUCUCGGUGGACAUAGGCUAGGAAUGUAAGAUGUAUGUGCCUGUGUAUAUACACACGUCUGUAGCUAUGUCUAUGUUGCAUACAUGUGUUUUUCCAAAAACCAAAUCCAUAACCAU